GUUCAAAAUAAAAAUAAAAAAACCGCUCAGAGUGGACAAGCGAUGCUGCUUUGUGUGGCGCUUUAGCGCAGCGCUGAGGUCUUCGGGGUGUCGGAGCGAAAUAGGUCCGUUCUCCGCUGCGCCUUUACUGUAUCCUCUUCUGUGAACCUUUUCACUCCCGAAACUGGCGCUCAGUGCUUAUUUGGUGGGAACCGGGCUGCUCUUUGUGCGCAUCUCAGGAGGGGCUACGAGUGUGAGCGUUGUGUCACUGCGAACGGUGACUCUGACGCCCACGCAGGAGAGGGAGCCACUUAUUACGAGUCCAUGAUGUUUCAGUUCGUCCCUCAGCAUCCCGCCGCCAGAGCGCACGUUGCACUGAGCUCUCUCACUGCAAGCGGGAAACUGCGCGCUCAUGUUUUAAUUUUACCAAUACAUAUACUACAAUAUAUAUAUAUAUUGUAUUAGAAAAAUAUAUAUAUAUAUCUUAAAACGUAAUUGAUAGUUUCCACAAUGGACAUGUACUCCUGGGUGCCCUUGUCACUGAACGUGCUCUUUCUCGUCAGGCUGGUGAGUAGUGUGCGCGCGCGCGGCAGGCAGGCUCGGCUAGAAGCCGCGCGCGCCUUUUCGCGAACCUUCGCCUGAACGUGUCUCAUGUCAGUGCGUUCGAUCGAUGUCGAAGCUCUCGCCGUUUACUUAAAAUAUUUUAUUAAAGCUUCCUAAUGUAAUAUGCGACGCCCUCCAAAUUCGCGGUGCUCGGUGUUGGACAGAGCAAAUCAUCGUGUCUUUUAUUAUUUCGGCGUUAACACUUGACUUUUCAGUCUGACUGGAAUUACCAAGGCAGGUAAACGAGGUUGUUCUUGACCCUACUCCUUGCCCUGGAUGUCUGAAAGAGCCCGUCUUAAAGGAGUGCAAGAAUGCCCCCUGCUGUGACGAGAGAUACCAGUUUGUGAAGCAAGGAGUCACCAUGUGUGAGCCAUGCACCCGACCUUGCUUAGACAGUCGACACCUGGUAGAAAUUAAGACGUGUGGCGCAACCUUUAACCGAGAGUGCCAUUGCGAAAAAGGUUUUUACUGCAGUAGUAAGGCACAGUACACGUGCAGGAGGUGUUUGUCUUGUCCAUCCGGCACCUUUUCCAGCGUCACAUCUUUGGAAUCCAUGGAACGCACUUGCAAGCAACAUACAAACUGUACCAACUUUGGACUGGUAAUGAUUUCUGAAGGCAAUAAUACCAGAGAUCACCAGUGUGGCCCAGUCUCCACCACCCCAGCAACUGCCAUGCCAAUUACUAAGCGGCUCUUUAGCACCCUUCAGGCAACCACUGUUAGAGCUCUGGAGCCCACAAACACGUUUAUACUUCCGGUAACGGAGCAGAAUUCCUCCAGCGCUUCAUCCCAGUAUCCCAACGUCACCAUCUCCCAGAGUUCUUCUAGCUCUGCGUACCAGGAAUCCAUUACAACCACCCCCUUGAUGUCCUCCAGCCCUACCUCCAGCCAUCGCUUCAACAUCAGCACCUCCCAGAGUUCCUCCAGCACUGAGCACCAGUUCAACAGUCCUGCACCUCAGGGCACCAGUAAUUCACCUUCUGUCCAGUCCCUCUGGUUGCUCAUCUUAGUUUGCUUGCUGCUGCUUGCUGUAUUAUUGGCAGGGUUCUGCAGGGGUAAGAGGUUGAAGAAGCUACAGGAGUACUGUGGUCUGUCAGUGAAAAAGGAGACACAGAAGACUGGAAACCUCGCCCUAACUCCCCAGUCACCUGAACAACCUUUGUUGGAGUCCCUCUAUAAUGAGAGCAGGGAGGUGGCUGUACCUGAGGAAGCCGGGGCUGCCUACAGCGGCAGGCAGCAGAUCACGGUGGACCAGAGUGGGGGAGGAGAGAGUGUCAAAAACACCGUGGGGUCCAUAUACAUCUACUCUCCUGGGAUGGUGGUCCUUGGGGCCAAUUCGUCGGAGCGUAGAGAGGAGCCUGUAGAGGGGCAGGCCUUUAUCAGCACACCACAGCAAGAGUCCCUCAGGGAGCCAGUGACCACAGGGCCUUGGGUGAGGUGUCCCAAUGGAGCACCCUUGGUGGAAGGGAUGCAAGAGGAAGAUCACAAACUCAGUUAUCCGGUGCCAGCCACUGGAAAGUGACAGCAAAGGAUGAAUGCAGGCAUGAACAUAGAAGAGACCUGUCACUCAUUACAGGAUGAACAGUGGAUCUGAAUGAAGGAUCAGAGAGAAGAGCAAGGUGCCAGGAAAACAUGUCUUGAACUGGAAGAAUGGAAAAGAUAGCAGAAACACCACCUAGACUGAGAGAGAACUUAUUUCGUCUUUGCCAAACAUUCAGAACUGGACUUCAAGAUGACAUUUCCUAGUGAUAAAAUGCAAGAUGACUGACUCAGGGUGACUCAUUGGACCAAAGGACAUCUAGUUCAUUUUAUUUUUUUACAUAGUAUUUUUCCCAGUUGCCUUUUCCCAGCCCUUCUGUUUUCCUUGUAAAUAGUGCAAGAAAGGUUUCCUCUGCAUAUGUUGUGACAUUUCCCAGAAGAAUGUCACACUAGAUGUUUUUGCUUAUCACUCAUAAGGAUGGGGGUUUUUUCUCACAGUUGAAUAAAAUAGGCUAUAUGGUGUGUAGACA
rnacentral:lncRNA from 1 species